UCUUCUCCUCCGUUUCUCUCUCUCUCUUUCAUUUCAAGCUCAAAUCGCUGAUCUUCUUCUUCUUCCAAUCAAACAAAGAAAGAAAGAUGUCGUGGCAGACGUACGUAGAUGAGCAUCUUAUGUGCGAAAUCGAUGGUGCCUAUCUCACUUCCGCCGCCAUCAUCGGCCAAGACGGCAGUAUCUGGGCCCAGAGCGCCACCUUCCCUCAGCUGAAGCCUGCAGAAGUAACAGGCAUAGUGAAUGAUUUUAACGAACCUGGAUCUCUAGCUCCGACUGGAUUAUACCUUGGUGGAAGCAAGUACAUGGUUAUUCAAGGAGAACCUGGAGCUGUCAUUCGUGGGAAGAAGGGACCGGGUGGUGCUACGAUUAAAAAGACAGGUCAGGCUUUGGUUUUUGGGAUAUAUGAAGAACCAAUGACAGGAGGGCAGUGCAAUAUGAUAGUUGAAAGGCUUGGAGAUUAUCUCAUUGAACAGGGUCUUUAAUAAUCAAAACUCACUCUUCUGCCUUUGCUUUGAUUUGAUUUGAUUUGCUGAUGCAGUUAUAAUUUAAAAAAAUUGUGGUUAUGAAUGAUGAUGAUGAAACAAGGAUUUGGAGUUUGGGAUGUUGUGAUAUUUUUGGUAUUGAUGAGACUCUGUAAUAUCCCCCUAUCAUCCUUCUACUUUUAUAUACAUAUAUAUAUAUAUAUGUUUGUACUUGUUGGGAAACAUAGCCCUCCUCAUCCUUCUUGUUCAUCUUCUUCUUCUUCAUGUAAUGUACCUUUGUUUUUAUGGAUUGAAUUGAAUUGAAUUGGUUUGGUUU